GAGUAUGCCCAUAAUACCCUUCCUUCAUCUGCCACUGGGAUGUCCCCCUUCCAAUGCCUGUACGGAUACCAACCUCCCUUGUUUCCUUCUCAGGAGAGGGAUCUUUCGGUUCCUUCUGUCCAGGCCCACAUUCGUCGUUGCCACCGGACCUGGCAUCGGGCCCGGAAGGUUCUCCUUAGAAUUUCUGACCGGUAUCAGAUCCAGGCAAAUCGUCGCCGUAUUCCUGCUCCCGCUUACACCAUCGGAGAUAAGGUUUGGUUGGCUACACGGGAUCUUCCUCUACGGACUGAGUCGAGGAAACUGUCACCGAAGUUCAUUGGUCCGUUUGUGGUGGAGAGAAUCAUUAACCCUGUUGUGGUCCGACUCAAGUUGCCGGCAACGCUUCGAGUACACUCCACUUUUCAUGUCUCCUGCCUCAAGCCGGUUCUCAUCAGUCCUCUGUUGCCGCCUCCUCCUCGUCCUCCUCCUCCUCGGAUGAUCGGAGGUGGUCCUGCCUACACGGUGCGCCGCAUAAUGGAUUCCAGACGGCGGGGUCGAGGUUUCCAAUAUCUCGUGGAUUGGGAAGGAUAUGGUCCAGAGGAGAGGAGUUGGAUUCCUCGGCGUCAGAUCCUUGAUGACGACCUGCUUCGUGACUUCUACCGCCUCCACCCUGGUGCUCUAGGUAGUCCGCCCGGUGGCGUUCGUCGGAGGGGGGGUACUGUCACGAACCCCGCUUCCUGAGUCUGUGUUUGCCUGUGUUUCUGUCCUGGAGUGUGUUUCCGGUGUCCUGGAACGCACCCUGUCUGGUUGCCGGGCAGAUUAGCUUGUUGGGAGAUCGAUGUUCACCCGCACCUGUAUCCCAUCAGUAAUCUGCACACCUGUCCUGAUCAUCACCUCUCCCCUUCAAAAGCUCUGACCUGACAUCCAUUCCCUGCCGGAUCGUUAGCCAUGAACAGUAUGUUGUGCCAUAGUAUCAGCCUCAAGUUGGAUAGAAUUUGUUUUGUUGUUUUGUACGUCUUGCUUGCCUUCAACUUACCUCCGUUUGUUCUGUCUUCAGUUACUCACCCGGAUCAUUUACCCCAUUCCCGCCUGGUCAUCGGAGGAUUCCGCUUCCCCAUUGGAUCCACCUAUUUACUCCCAUCAACUCACCACCGCUGCCCGCUACGCCACCUGGAUGUAUCUACCCACUCACAUUCACUUGUAAAUAAAUACUCACCUUCUUCCUACUCUCCUUGUCCUGGUCAGCUUCUGGGUUCGAUUUUGAAGAAACGUGACAUCCACAGCAACUUUAACAUUUAUAAAAUAUUGUUUUUCACUAUGCUAGGAGAGUGGAGAGGCGGGACUAGGCAGACAAGUGUGUGACCCUUCUCUGUGAUUGGUGGACAGAGAUUGAUGGUUGACAGACAGACGGAUAAAGAGAACGAGACUGACAGCAGAGAGGAGAGACGGGGAGAGAGAGAUGGCUCACAGUGUCAACUUUGACCUGACUGCUGAACACAUGGAGGCUGGCCUGGAGAGCCCAGCGGAUGAAGAGGGGGUCCAUGACUCCUUUAACCAGCUGAUAGAGGAUCAGAGACAGGAAGCCUUGGAGCUGCAGGAACUACAGAGAGACCUGGACGAGGAGGAACGAGACAGUGUAGCGUACCUGUCCAGCCCUGGUCAGGAGAUUAUGGCGUGGGAGCGCGGGGAGGGGUGAGGAGGAAGUGGGGGGACAGUUAGACCCCCUUCUAGAGGAACGCUGGUCCUCCGCCACCCUCAAAGUCCUCUCAUCCAUGCCCAGCCGCACCAUCGGUCGUAGUCGAGGUGCUAUCAUCUCUCAGUACUAUAACAGGACCAUGAAGUUGAGAAGACGCAGACAGAGCAGGCCUUCCAUAAAGGACUUUUCCCGCUCCGCACGGCCCAGUAUCCGUGGUUACGGCAUGGAGACAGACUGCAUGGAGACCGAGGGCGUGGAUGAGGAGGGGCGUAAGCGUGACCAACUGGUCAACAACCUUCAGAACCUCUCUCUGAGUGACCGGGUCAGGAUGUUGCGAGCUAUGCCUCUCUCUGUGGCAGAGAAGAGUGAACUAAGGAGGUUGGCUGACAGGAAGGGUCAACGCUCCAAUCACAGUCAGAUCCCCUGUUGCAGCCAGCUCAAGUAUCACAUCAUCAUCGCUCUGAGACAUAGCUGGUACAGUUGUCUCUCCUUCCUCCACUCCCUACAGCUGUGGCAGGUGGCGCUGAAGAGGGUGAGCGGUCGUUUCGGCACCGGCGUCCUCUCUUACUUCCUGUUCGUCAAGACCCUCCUCUUCUUCAACAUCUUCCUGUUCCUGGUCACGGGUUUGUUACUGGCCGUGCCCCAGGCAGUACACCCCCCCACAUUAACCCAGGGACACGAAGCCUUCUCUGGGCUGGAGCUGCUCACUGGAGGGGGUUAUUUCUCAGACUCAGUGAUAUACUAUGGUUACUAUAGUAACUCUACCCUGUCUAAGGACUGUAGAGUCACUAGUAGCAGUAUGGAGCAGCAGCCCAGUCCCUCUGUAUCUAGAAGGACAAUGGAGACAGACUGUGGAGGGAAGCCGUCCUACAACAUGCCCCUGGCUUACUUCUUCACCAUAGGACUGGCUUUCUUCAUCACCUGCAUCAUCCUCGUCUACAGCAUGUCCAAGUCGUUUGGUCAGAGUUUCCGUAUAGACAAGUCACAUGGUAUCCUGGCGAUGAAGGUGUUCUGUUCCUGGGACUUUAAAGUCAUCAAGAAAACCUCCGUCAAACUCCGGUCUGAAAACAUCUGCAUUCAACUCAGGGAGUUGUUAGAGGAGACAAGUCGUAAGCAUGUCCAGAAGACUGCGUGUCAGAGAAUAGGACGUGUGCUGGUACAUGUUCUGGCCUGGUUCAUCUGUAUCGGCAGUACAGUGGCCUGUGUUCUAGCUCUCUACUACUUCUCUGAGUACAUGCACAAGGACCUCCAGUACAGAUCUCGUAUUCCCACUAAGGACCCUCUCCUGAAGGAAGCCAGUCUGUUGGCCCUGCCAGUCGUAGUGUCUCUCAUCAACCUCCUGCUCCCUGGCAUCUUCAACGCUACUGCCUGGAUGGAGGAGUACGACUCGCCCAGCGUAAACACAUACAUCGCCAUCAGCAGGAACCUGAUGUUGAAAGUGAGCGUGCUGGUAGUGCUGUGCUUCCAUUGGCUGGGCCGGAUCGCUUCUGACCCCCACAGCAUCGGCCUGCAGUGCUGGGAGAGUUUUGUAGGACAAGAGCUGUACCGCUUCCUCCUCAUGGACUUCAUCUUUACCAUACUGGACACCUUCUUUGGAGAGUUCCUCUGGAGGUUGUUUUCUCAGAGGGUGUUGAAGAGGAAAAGAAAGCCUGUGUUUGACAUCUCCAGGAACGUGUUGGAACUCAUCUACGGACAGACACUGGCCUGGUUGGGGGUGUUGUUCACUCCUCUGCUUCCUGCUGUACAGAUCAUCAAACUACUGCUUCUCUUCUACAUGAAGCAGACUAGUGUGAUGAUGAACUGCCAGUCCCCUAGGAAGCCCUAUAGGGCCAGUCAGAUGAGCACCAUCUUCAUCACCCUCCUCUGCUGCCCUUCCUUCCUGGGGGCUGCUGUUUGUGUCAGCUACACCAUGUGGAGCAUCCGUCCGUCUGAGUCAUGUGGUCCGUUCCGCAGCCUGUCCACUAUGUUCCAGUCAGGGAAGCUGUGGGUGAAGGAGUUGGAGACACACAACCCUAACCUGGCCUGGUUAGCCUGGGCUCACAGCUACAUAGUGGAGAACCCUCUGUUUCUGUUCCUCGCUGCUGGGAUCUUCCUGAUAGUGAUUUACUUCAACACCCAGGUGGUGGAUGGACAGAGGAAGAUUAUCAGUCUGCUGCAGGAGCAAAUAGAAAACGAGGGGGAUGAUAAGAAGUUCCUGAUCACUCGUCUCCAGGCCAUCCACCAGCAGAAACGACCCCUCUCCCCUCGCAGACUCACCAGUCAGGCCAGUCAGGAUUCCAACUGUUAGCAUUCCAACUACUGAAAGGGCAUUCUCUCCCUUCUCAUUAGAGGGAAUAUCUCAGAAAAUGUCCUGAAUGGACCAACCUGGAUGUAGCUCUCCUCUCCUGCCUCUGGGAAGAGUUGUUAAGGGAUUCUUCAACUGGAAAACUAUUCUCAUAGGAUGUCCUCUUUCCCAGGAAGCUGAGUUGGGACUAUAAAGGAAUUUACUUCUUUACAAUAACAAAUCCCACAGACGCCAAAACGUGAAUCUGAUAGGAUCCACACUCUUUCCCAGGAAGCUGGUCCUUAUAAGGAUUGGGAAUAGGAUUGGGAAUGGGACAAAGCAGGCUUUCCCUCUUCCAAUAACAGACUACACCUCAUAGGGAAAGACCACUUUAUAGGAUCUUACUAUGGCCAGGCCAUAGGCUCCACCUUACUGUAACUAGGCUCCACCUUACUGUAACUAGGCUCCACCUUACUGUAACUAGGCUACAACUUACUGUAACUAGGCUACAUAGGAAAUACCACUGAGUUUUAAUGAACUUACUAUGGCCAGGCCAUAGGCUCCACCUUACUGUAACUAGGCUCCACCUUACUGUUUAUUCUUCAUGUAAAUGAAAGGACAUGCCACUGUCACAAAACAAUGGUUUAUCGACGCUCAAUACUUUCAGCCAAGGAUCUUUGUCCUUUUUUAAACUUGGAUUGGAAGCCCUGGUCAUGAGAGAGGAUGUAGGGGUGAAGAGGAAACGAGACUGGGAUACGGUGUGCUUGUAGGGACACAGAACGGAAUGCGCUUUUUAGAAACAAUAUUUUUUUCCCUCACAACUUUGAACAGGGAACAUAUCAAAUGCCAAUAAGCUGCCAACGUUGCACCAAGGAUGAAAACAGUGGCUUUGUUAAGCAGCGUGAAUUCUGUGAAAUAUAGGAUUUGUAUUUUUUUUAAAAUUGUAAAUAGUAUGAUUUUUUUAAAAAUUACUUUAGAUGUUUUUAUUGUAUAAACAGGUGUUUUGUCAACAGUCAUUUCAUACCAACUGUGAACAGGUUAUUUCUUUCCGUUUCUGAUAUAAAAUGAUUUUGAUGUUUUUAUGUUAAUUGGUGGUCCACACACUGCUUCUGAAAUGGCACUCUUCCCUACAUAGUGCACAACUUUAUAGGGCGCUGGUCGUACGUAGUGCACUAUGUAGAGAAUAGGGUACCUUUUUGGACGCAUCCUCUGUUUACUGACUCUGUAGGAAGAAUCCACCUCUUAGUAUCGGGCGAUCUGAUUGGUUCGUUCAAACAGGAAAUGGUCUUAGAAGAUCAACCAUUGGAACAGCACGUUAUUUGAUUGUCUCUUUGUUUUUACAUUGUUUUGUUUGUAUACUUUAUACGAAAUUAAAUGUUUUAACAUA